rnacentral:rRNA from 1 species
ACCAGUACCGUGAGGGAAAGGCGAAAAGAACCCCGGCGAGGGGAGUGAAAAAGAACCUGAAACCGUGUACGUACAAGCAGUGGGAGCACGCUUCGGCGUGUGACUGCGUACCUUUUGUAUAAUGGGUCAGCGACUUAUAUUCUGUAGCAAGGUUAACCGAAUAGGGGAGCCGAAGGGAAACCGAGUCUUAACUGGGCGUUAAGUUGCAGGGUAUAGACCCGAAACCCGGUGAUCUAGCCAUGGGCAGGUUGAAGGUUGGGUAACACUAACUGGAGGACCGAACCGACUAAUGUUGAAAAAUUAGCGGAUGACUUGUGGCUGGGGGUGAAAGGCCAAUCAAACCGGGAGAUAGCUGGUUCUCCCCGAAAGCUAUUUAGGUAGCGCCUCGUGAAUUCAUCUCCGGGGGUAGAGCACUGUUUCGGCAAGGGGGUCAUCCCGACUUACCAACCCGAUGCAAACUGCGAAUACCGGAGAAUGUUAUCACGGGAGACACACGGCGGGUGCUAACGUCCGUCGUGAAGAGGGAAACAACCCAGACCGCCAGCUAAGGUCCCAAAGUCAUGGUUAAGUGGGAAACGAUGUGGGAAGGCCCAGACAGCCAGGAUGUUGGCUUAGAAGCAGCCAUCAUUUAAAGAAAGCGUAAUAGCUCACUGGUCGAGUCGGCCUGCGCGGAAGAUGUAACGGGGCUAAACCAUGCACCGAAGCUGCGGCAGCGACACUAUGUGUUGUUGGGUAGGGGAGCG